UACGGAGGGGGCUAGCGUUGUUCGGAAUUACUGGGCGUAAAGCGCGCGUAGGCGGAUCUGCAAGUCGGGGGUGAAAUCCCGAGGCUCAACCUCGGAACUGCCUUCGAUACUGCGGGUCUCGAGUCCGGGAGAGGUGAGUGGAAUUCCUAGUGUAGAGGUGAAAUUCGUAGAUAUUCGCAAGAACACCAGUGGCGAAGGCGGCUCACUGGCCCGAUACUGACGCUGAGGCACGAAAGCGUGGGGAGCAAACAGG
rnacentral:rRNA from 1 species